rnacentral:rRNA from 1 species
UACGUAGGGGGCAAGCGUUGUCCGGAAUCAUUGGGCGUAAAGAGCGUGUAGGCGGCCAGAUAAGUCCGCUGUGAAAACUCGAGGCUCAACUUCGAGCUGUCGGCGGAAACUAUCUGGCUAGAGUCCGGAAGAGGAGAGUGGAAUUCCUGGUGUAGCGGUGAAAUGCGCAGAUAUCAGGAAGAACACCCGUGGCGAAGGCGGCUCUCUGGGGACGGUACUGACGCUGAGACGCGAAAGCGUGGGGAGCAAACAGG